rnacentral:misc_RNA from 1 species
GAUGAAGAACGUAGCGAAAUGCGAUAAGUAAUGUGAAUUGCAGAAUUCAGUGAAUCAUCGAAUCUUUGAACGCACAUUGCGCCCGUCAGUAUUCUGGCGGGCAUGCCUGUUCGAGCGUCAUUACGCCCCUCAAGUCCCCUGUGGACUUGGUGUUGGGGAUCGGCGAGGCUGGUUUUCCAGCACAGCCGUCCCUUAAAUUAAUUGGCGGUCUCGCCGUGGCCCUCCUCUGCGCAGUAGUAAAACACUCGCAACAGGAGCCCGGCGCGGUCCACUGCCGUAAAACCCCCCAACUUUUUAUAGUUGACCUCGAAUCAGGUAUGACUACCCGCUGAACUUAAGCAUAUCAAUAAGCGGAGGA